GUUUAGAUAGCUUACUUAAAGCAUAGCACUGAAAAUGCUAAGAUGGGCUUUAAAAAGUCCUCCAAACA
rnacentral:tRNA from 1 species